rnacentral:lncRNA from 1 species
GUUUUUUUCUAAAUUGGACAUUUCAGAUAAAUUUUUCUCAUUAAUUGUACUAUAAAUGGUGGGCUACUAGAAUUAACUGUGUGCUUCUUUUUUUAUUAUAGGCUUACAAGAACUGUAAUUAUUUAUUAAAAUGGAAAACUCUGAAGAAAGAAAAAGAUAGCAGUUGCAGUUAAAAUUCCUGGAUGAAUAUUUUGCUUUUGAGAAGUGUGCAUUUAAAAACGAUAUGUUGAUUUGGAAAGUCCCAGGAGUCAAUUACAAAAUCCACUUUUUCCAUUCAAUCAAUGGAGUUUUUCAUCAUUCCUUGGAGCUGAUGAAAUUCAGAGAUGGUGCGUGAUGGGAAGUGUUUUCCUAGUGAUUGCAUCUUGGAUUAGCUUGCUGCUUUUUUGAAGAUAUUCUAUUGUGAAGGGCAAGAACCUAAUGUGAUGGAUUUAUCUUCAGAGAUGAGCAGACAUGGGAAGAACCCAGUGAGUCACAAGCUAGAAGAUCAGAAAAAGAUGGAGAAAUGCAAUAACAUUACAUUUUGGGCCCUCAAGACCAAGGAGAAACCUGGCAGCUGUUCAAAAAUAAUGAAAUAACAAAGAGAAGAAAACAGAUCCUGGUACUUCCCUCUUGCUGGACCCUCUAUCAUUGCCCAAACAGAGAUUCUGCCCUAUUUGAAAAAUCAUACCUAUUUGGAAAGACAUACAAAGUAUAAUUGAGUCUUGCAGCAUUGUCUGGUAAAAGUAAGUCCUGGUUUCAAAGGAAUUUCUUUGGAGGAGUAUAAAAACCAUGAAGCUGCUGAGAUUUAUCAUCAAACAAGGUCUGAUCCUGAAUUGUGCUAUAAUGUAGCUAUAGUUAGAGACCUAAUCUUUAUUAUCUUUUCAGGAGCAUGUACACAUGCACACGUGUAUAGCCAGACACCCUUAAUUUUACUUAAUUAAUUGGGCUCUUGGUUGGAGACUUUGUCAUGUAUGGUGUUUUAAGUCAAAAACAUCAAAGGUGGUGAACAUUGCAGAUAAUCAGUUUAAUAGCAGUAUUUAUGUCUCACAAAUUACAGAGUCUUAGAAUAUAUUACUGACUGGUUAUUAAAUAGUAAUAGUUGGAUCAGGGCCAAACUGAUUAUUCAAGUAUUUCUGCUUCUUUAUUAUGAGCUUGGCAGUCAGUGGAAGAGCUCUCCUCUGAAUGUUAUUGUUCAUCCAACUGUGGAGAAAAACUGUGAAGAAAACUGCAAACAGCAAGUCCCCUCAUAUAUGUCAUAAAAUUUUUGGCACCUGUUUGCUCUAAUAAUUAUGUCAGUUUUGCUUUGUGUAUGAAGUGUAGAGCUGACGGAGCUUGCUUCAACUCUAUUCUAUGAACUUUCCUGAACUUUUUUGCUGGCAGAUAUUAUUGGUUAAAGUGUCUCCUGAGAAGAUAAGUCUUUUUUAAUUUUCCCUUUCAGAGUCAAUUGGAAAUCCUCUGUUUACCCCCCAUAUUGUUUUUGAUGUGACUGAUUCAGCACAUCAUAAAGUAAGCUAUUUGGGAACUAGUAAAGUAGACUAGGGAGGUGGUUUAGGUAGAAUCAGGCUCAGAUGAUAAGCUAUAAUCAUACAUUAUCCCCAGUAGAUGAAUUUCCUGGGUUGUUCCUUUCUCAAUUUCUUAAAUAAAUUUCAGAAUAUAAUUCGGAUUAGACCUUAUUCAAGCCAGUGGUUCUGCAGAGAGCCCACUGCAACAGAGAUGUACCUAGACCAGGAAUGAAAAAUUCAUUCCAUCUUUCAAUCAACAUUUAUUGAGCACCUCUUAUAUGGAAGGCAG